rnacentral:rRNA from 1 species
UAGAGUUUGAUCCUGGCUCAGGAUGAACGCUGGCGGCGUGCUUAACACAUGCAAGUCGAACGAACCUUCGGGUUAGUGGCGGACGGGUGAGUAACGCGUGAGAAUCUGCCCUCAGGAGGGGGAUAACAGCUGGAAACGGCUGCUAAUACCCCAUAUGCCGCGAGGUGAAAUGAAUUUCGCCUGAGGAUGAGCUCGCGUCUGAUUAGCUAGUUGGUGUGGGUAAUGGCUCACCAAGGCAUCGAUCAGUAGCUGGUCUGAGAGGAUGAUCAGCCACACUGGGACUGAGACACGGCCCAGACUCCUACGGGAGGCAGCAGUGGGGAAUUUUCCGCAAUGGGCGAAAGCCUGACGGAGCAACGCCGCGUGAGGGAUGAAGGCCUCUGGGCUGUAAACCUCUUUUAUCAAGGAAGAAGAUCUGACGGUACUUGAUGAAUAAGCCACGGCUAAUUCCGUGCCAGCAGCCGCGGUAAUACGGGAGUGGCAAGCGUUAUCCGGAAUUAUUGGGCGUAAAGCGUCCGCAGGCGGCCCUUCAAGUCUGCUGUUAAGAAGUGGAGCUUAACUCCAUCAUGGCAGUGGAAACUGAGGGGCUUGAGUGUGGUAGGGGCAGAGGGAAUUCCCGGUGUAGCGGUGAAAUGCGUAGAUAUCGGGAAGAACACCAGUGGCGAAGGCGCUCUGCUGGGCCAUCACUGACGCUCAUGGACGAAAGCCAGGGGAGCGAAAGGGAUUAGAUACCCCUGUAGUCCUGGCCGUAAACGAUGAACACUAGGUGUCGGGGGAAUCGACCCCCUCGGUGUCGUAGCCAACGCGUUAAGUGUUCCGCCUGGGGAGUACGCACGCAAGUGUGAAACUCAAAGGAAUUGACGGGGGCCCGCACAAGCGGUGGAGUAUGUGGUUUAAUUCGAUGCAACGCGAAGAACCUUACCAGGGUUUGACAUCCUGCGAAUCUCUUGGAAACGAGAGAGUGCCUUCGGGAGCGCAGUGACAGGUGGUGCAUGGCUGUCGUCAGCUCGUGUCGUGAGAUGUUGGGUUAAGUCCCGCAACGAGCGCAACCCACGUCUUUAGUUGCCAGCAUUUAGUUGGGCACUCUAGAGAGACCGCCGGUGAUAAACCGGAGGAAGGUGUGGAUGACGUCAAGUCAUCAUGCCCCUUACAUCCUGGGCUACACACGUACUACAAUGCUACGGACAAAGGGCAGCAAGUUCGCGAGGACAAGCAAAUCCCAUAAACCGUGGCUCAGUUCAGAUCGUAGGCUGCAACUCGCCUACGUGAAGGAGGAAUCGCUAGUAAUCGCAGGUCAGCAUACUGCGGUGAAUACGUUCCCGGGCCUUGUACACACCGCCCGUCACACCAUGGAAGUUGGCCACGCCCGAAGCCGUUACUCCAACCCUUGUGGAGGAGGACGUCGAAGGUGGGGCUGAUGACUGGGGUGAAGUCGUAACAAGGUAACCA